GUCAGAAUGGCCGAGCGGUCUAAGGCGCCAGACUCAAGGAAGUUCCUUGUCCUGCAGCAGGGCGAUGAGAGUUCUGGUCCACGAAUGUGGGCGUGGGUUCGAAUCCCACUUCUGACA
rnacentral:tRNA from 13 species